UUUCAUUUAGAUAUAGCUGAUUUGAACCAUGGAGCAGCAGGCCAGACCAACAGUGUGGAUCGUGAAGAGCAGCUAAAUCCGCAGGGCCAAUCAGAGGGCAAAGCGACGUCGCUAGAAGUUUCCCAUAAGAAAAUUGGUCUUGCGAGCAAGAAGAAAGGCGCAGAUAGCGGGAGAAGUAGACGGAACAGGGGAGACGAAGAAGUUCCCACAAGAAAGAAAAUCGGUCUUGCGAGCAAGAGGGAGGGGGAUAUCGGGGGAGGAGAAGACGGAACAG